rnacentral:lncRNA from 1 species
AAAAAAGAAGAAAAUCCAUAUAUAAAAUGUCAAGGAUUAUAAAUAAUUCAGCAAGCAGGAUCAAAACAUGUAUUCAAGCUAGGUUACAAGUUAUAAAAUAAAUGGGUGAUGAAUUUACAAUGUAACUGACAACGUAUAUAUCUUGAUUAAAAUUAUUCUAGUGAAGCUGGAAGGUGGGGAAAAGUGGGGGAUGGGGAACCUCAAUGUACAAUGAUACUGAUUAUUUAUAUAGGUCAGGAAAAGGAGAUGGGAUGUAAAAACUUCAAUAUACAAUGUGAUUAAGUAUAACAGAUUUAGAGGGGGUGCUUUUCUGGGAAACAUUUGGUUGAUUAUAUAGGGAAUCACUGAAACAUGACUGGAGUGGUCCCUACUUAUGAAAAUUUCUGGGUCAGCCACUGACUACCACAUUAUCAGGCCAUUCAUUUGGAGAGGGGGGGGGUACUUUUACCUCCUGUACAUGUAUACGCUAUUGACAAAUACUGCCUAAAUGUUGGAAUUUUUUUCAAGAUUAUCAUACUUCUGUAAGGGCCAUAACUUGAUUUAGAAAAUAACUCACUUCACAUGACAUCAAUAAAAGGAAUGGAGACUUAUAUAAUGUAUAAAUUAGUCAGACAUUUUCACCUUACAAUUACUCCAUACACCAAAUAUAGUGGAUCCCUUGCUUAUGGGGACCUUUCUUAAAGAUUAAAUAUAAGUUUAGUAUUCUAUAAAGGAUCAAAAAUAUCAAUCUAAGUUGAACAUUUACAAAUCUGACAGGCCCUCAGCCCAGAAUUUCCAAGUUGAGGGUUUCGAUACAAUCAUACGCAACAUUUAACAAUAACAAUUCAAACAGAACAUUGACUAUAUCAGUGCUUGUUUGUUUUCAAGGGGAAUCCGUUUGAACCCCCUAAGGUUAUGAGUGUGUUGCAGUAUAUUACUUUCUUUUCAUCACUGUUUAAACAAGAAUGUGGCCAUAGUACGCAGGUAUCAUGCCCCAUCAUUUUCUAUGUUAGGUGGACCGUGAAAUUGGUGUCAAAACUCUAAUUUGGCCUUACAAUUAGAAAUAUCAUAUCAUAGGGAAUAUUUAGUAUUAGUUUCAAGUUGAUUGGGACUUCAACUUCAUCAUAAACUACCAUGACAAAAGUUUUGGGACAGAUUGCUGAACAAACACACAGACCAGAAAACAUAAUGCCUCUCUUCUAUCUUAGGUGGGGCAAAAUAAAAAUUAACAAAGGAGUAGAUUCAGUAAGACCCCUUUUUGGCCCCAAAAUAUAUCAGUUUUUCAAAAAUUUUACAAUGUAAACUUUAAGCUAUUUAUUUGUAAGUAUAAUACUUCUGCUACAUAAAUAUGGACUGCUUUUGACAAUAAAAUGCACAAAUAUAUCAGGUACUAGCACCAUUAAGUCAUGCUAAAUUACUGAAAUCUAAAUUCUAUCAUUUUAGUUAAAUUCUAGACGGUUUUCGUCUUAAAUGAAAGUGGCGCAUUCGUGUUCAUUCUUAAUAUUUAAAUGUAAGUUGUAUUUUAU